GACGAACCGUGCGAACGUUAUUCGGAUUCACUGGGCUUAAAGGGCGCGUAGGCGGGCGGCACAGUCGGGGUGAAAUCUUCGGCCCAACCGGAAAAUGGCUUUCGAUACUAGCCGCCUGGAGGGGAUAGGGGCACGGCGGAACUGCCGGUGGAGCGGUGAAAUGCGUAGAUAUCGGCAGGAACGCCGGUGGCGAAAGCGGCGUGCUGGGUCCUUCCUGACGCUGAGGCGCGAAAGCCAGGGGAGCAAACGGGG
rnacentral:rRNA from 1 species